GGAUGCGAUCAUACCAGCACUAAUGCACCGGAUCCCAUCAGAACUCCGAAGUUAAGGUGCUUGGGCGAGAGUAGUACUAGGAUGGGUGACCCCCUGGAAGUCCUCGUGUUGCAUUCC
rnacentral:rRNA from 1 species